GCCGAAGUGGCGGAAUUGGUAGACGCGCUAGGUUCAGGGUCUAGUGGGUGAACGCCCAUCCCGGUUCAAGUCCGGGCUUCGGCACCA
rnacentral:tRNA from 1 species